UACGUAGGGACCAAGCGUUGUUCGGAUUUACUGGGCGUAAAGGGCGCGUAGGCGGCGUGGUAAGUCACUUGUGAAAUCUCUGAGCUUAACUCAGAACGGUCAAGUGAUACUGCUGUGCUAGAGUGCAGAAGGGGCAAUCGGAAUUCUUGGUGUAGCGGUGAAAUGCGUAGAUAUCAAGAGGAACACCUGAGGUGAAGACGGGUUGCUGGGCUGACACUGACGCUGAGGCGCGAAAGCCAGGGGAGCAAACAGG
rnacentral:rRNA from 1 species